rnacentral:rRNA from 1 species
GACGCACGCUGGCGGCGUGCUUAACACAUGCAAGUCGAGCGGAAAGGCCCUGCUUUUGUGGGGUGCUCGAGUGGCGAACGGGUGAGUAACACGUGAGUAACCUGCCCUUGACUUUGGGAUAACUUCAGGAAACUGGGGCUAAUACCGGAUAGGAGCUCCUGCUGCAUGGUGGGGGUUGGAAAGUUUCGGCGGUUGGGGAUGGACUCGCGGCUUAUCAGCUUGUUGGUGGGGUAGUGGCUUACCAAGGCUUUGACAGGUAGCCGGCCUGAGAGGGUGACCGGCCACAUUGGGACUGAGAUACGGCCCAGACUCCUACGGGAGGCAGCAGUGGGGAAUAUUGCACAAUGGGCGGAAGCCUGAUGCAGCAACGCCGCGUGCGGGAUGACGGCCUUCGGUUUGUAAACCGCUUUCGCCUGUGACGAAGCGUGAGUGACGGUAAUGGGUAAAGAAGCACCGGCUAACUACGUG